rnacentral:rRNA from 1 species
GGAAUCUGGGAGGACCAUCUCCUAAGGCUAAAUACUCUCUAGUGACCGAUAGUGAACCAGUACCGUGAGGGAAAGGUGAAAAGCACCCCGGAAGGGGAGUGAAAUAGAACCUGAAACCGUGUGCUUACAAGUAGUCAGAGCCCGUUAAUGGGUGAUGGCGUGCCUUUUGUAGAAUGAACCGGCGAGUUACGAUUUGAUGCAAGGUUAAGCAGUAAAUGUGGAGCCGUAGCGAAAGCGAGUCUGAAUAGGGCGUUUAGUAUUUGGUCGUAGACCCGAAACCAGGUGAUCUACCCUUGGUCAGGUUGAAGUUCAGGUAACACUGAAUGGAGGACCGAACCGACUUACGUUGAAAAGUGAGCGGAUGAACUGAGGGUAGCGGAGAAAUUCCAAUCGAACCUGGAGAUAGCUGGUUCUCUCCGAAAUAGCUUUAGGGCUAGCCUCAAGUGAUGAUUAUUGGAGGUAGAGCACUGUUUGGACGAGGGGCCCCUCUCGGGUUACCGAAUUCAGACAAACUCCGAAUGCCAAUUAAUUUAACUUGGGAGUCAGAACAUGGGUGAUAAGGUCCGUGUUCGAAAGGGAAACAGCCCAGACCACCAGCUAAGGUCCCAAAAUAUA